rnacentral:rRNA from 1 species
ACAGUUAAAGCAUUUUUACUGCGUUUGAAUACUACAGCAUGGAAUAACAAAAUUGAACAAGCCAGAAUUCUGUUCUUUUUUCUUAUUUUGGCUUAGCUACGAUUAAUAGGAGUAGCUUGGGGGCAUUUGUAUUCAGAUGUCAGAGGUGAAAUUCUUAGAUUUUCUGGAGACAAACAACUGCGAAAGCAUUUGCCUAAAAUAUUUCCAUUAAUCAAGAACGAAAGUUAAGGGAGUGAAGACGAUCAGAUACCGUCGUAAUCUUAACCAUAAACUAUACCAACUAGGUUUUGGAUGAAAAGUUUUUAAAUAAGAGAAUUCCUUUCGGGGAAAUUUCUUAGAUUGCUUCUUUCAGUACCUUAUGAGAAAUCAAAGUCUUUGGGUUCUGGGGCGAGUAUUCGCGCAAGCGAGAAAGUUAAAAGAAUUGACGGAAGGGCACCACCAGGCGUGGAGCUUGCGGCUUAAUUUGACUCAACACGGGGAAACUCACUAGUUUAAGACAAGAGUAGGAUUGACAGAUUAAUAGCUCUUUCUUGAUUUCUUGGAUGGUGAUGCAUGGCCGUUUUUAGUUCGUGAAUAUGAUUUGUCUGGUUAAUUCCGAUAACGAACGAGAUCUUAACCUGCUAAUUAGCGGCGAAUACGUUAUAUUCUUAUGUGAAAUUGAAUAUAGCUGAAUU